UUAGCCCUUAUGCCCCACCAAAUAUCAGAACUAGGUUUUCUCAAAACAUUUCUCCAUACGCCUGCCCUCUUCUCAAGAGUAGAUUUUGACUUCUUCCUAUUUGUGUCAAAGAUUAACUUUUAUAAGCUCUGCCACAAAGAUGUACACUCUAUUUUUGUACAAAUCUUGCAAUUUCGACCGUUUUUGAACGGCUAUUUUGACUUUCAAAAUGGCUAAUUUGAAAUCCCGACCCUAGAGUUACCUCUAUAAAUACUCGCGUCUGGAAGCAAUUUUGGGACCAUCUUUGGCCGCUGCUGCUAACCUUGAUACUCACUUGCUCUUCGCUCAUUUUGUUUACCUCUUUAAAACUGCUCUAAAAAACUUAGCUUCUCAGCCUUUGUUGGUUUCUUAACCGAAACAGAGGCAUUUUGCUGUUCAUUCCGGCAUUUAACGGCAGUUCGAGUUAGCGCUUUCGUGGUCGGAGUUCGGUAGAUGUGAGAUACAAAGCCAACGCCUCAGUUUACUGCCCCGAAAUAGCAUAGUCCCAUAUAGGAGCUCCAUGGCGUCUACGGUGUUGGUCGAUAUCCGAAAGGUCUUCUGAAGGGAUUGACAUAUUGACAAAUCUCCAAUGCAAACAUACUCCGCAAAAGCAACCACAAAUACACCACAAUCGCUGCAUAAGACAAUUUUUUUUUAAUUAUUUAACAAAUGAUUAUAAAAAAAUAAUUAAACAUCCAGAAAGAGAAUGAUUUUUUUACAGUGAUCCUUCCUUUUGCUGUGGAAUCUCUGCAACCAUCCACUGUAUGUUGAGAGGGUCUGUAACUGGUUUCUCAAUGUAUGCCUUUAUGGUCUUGAAGUCAAUGGCUUUACGCUUCCCGUAGAAACCAGUGCAAAACAAAUACAGAGGGAUAAUGAUUGAAAACUUAUCAACACAUGAUUCAACAACCAAUGGAAAUUCUCUACAAUGUUCACGGGCAUGAUGACAUAGUCAACUUCAUCCCAGGCAACAUUAGCAAGGAGUCUAUACCCAAGAAUAUAUUCUGCAACAUCAUCAUCGGGUUUAAUAACCGAUGAUAUGCACAGUCCCCAAUUCACGGAGUGACUGUAGGAACUCAGACAGAACAUGUCAUUGAGAAACAGCUAAAUGAAGGUGAAGAUGUACAUCAUGUGGAUGAAGUUGUUUCUGAAGUUGUUUCUGGAUGACUUUGAGUUGCCAGACAAUUUAACACAUUGGUUAAGUAUGGCCAGCCCGUACCAGAUGAAGCAACCCCUAUUCAUCCGGGGAGAACCAGGCAACCGGGGAAACAUGCACGAUCACCUUUCAUACCGCUAUAUAGUUCUGGAGGCAGCAGCUCUAUUGGACCUAAAUUUUUCUACCUCAAGCACCCAUUCACAACUCUUAUAAGUGAAAAUGUAGAUUUUGAUAUGUUAGAUAAGUUCAACAAGUGGUUAUACCACUGAAUUGACGAAGUAUCUAAGAGGAAGAAGGCUCCCUUUUCCAUAAAAGAAGGACUGGUUUUAUUCCCUUGCUCACCUCGGGGGAGUCCUCAAUGACUCGCACAUUGAUGCUAUUAUGUAUUACAAUCGCUUGUUCAAGUCAAAUAUUGUACAAAUCUAUGACAAGUUUAUAAGUUCUCCGCCAGAAAAAAAGUAUUCGGUUAUUAAACCUGAUGAUGAUGUUGCAGAAUAUAUUCUUGGGAAGCGUAAAGCCAUUGACUUCAAGACCACAAAGGCAUACAUUGAGAAACCAGUUACAGACCCUCUCAACAUACAGUGGAUGGUUGCAGAGAUUCCACAGCAAAAGGAAAGAUCACUCGAUUGUGGUGUAUUUAUGGCUGCUUUUGCGGAGUAUGUUUGCAUUGGAGAUUUGUCAAUCAAUCCCUUCAGUAGAUCUUUCGGAUAUCGACCAACACCGUAGACGCUAUAAAGCUCAUAUGGGACUAUGCUACAAAGAAGCAAGAAAGAUGGGUCAAUCAGUGAAAGUGAGGUUACAUGCAGGCUAGCAAGGAGGAAGGGUGCUCCUGCAAUAGUGUCCUGUUUUCCUAGUUUAGUUGAUGCCAAUUUGUAGUUGAAGAAAGUAGUGAGGUUACACUACUUUAUGAACAAUUUUUUUUAUUGCAGCAUACCUUUUUUUUUUGUAAUUUUACAAAUAAUCUCCACAAUAUCUACAUUU